CAUGAAUAUAAGUUAUCAUCAUUACAAGAACAAUUGAUGAUAAUUAAGUGUCAUAGAAUAGAUCAUCAUGGAAUAACUACAAGGGAGUGGUAAUGAAAACAAAUACCAUUAAAACUCUAUGACAAAUCCAAUCGCCACACAGAUACAAAGAAUAAAAAGAAUAAGAAGAGUCACAAAUCAAGAACUAGCUUGUUGCAAUCCAAAUGCUGAAGAUGCAUCCUGGAUGCUUAGCUACUCCGCUCAUUUGCAUUGUAAAGAUUUGAGCGUCUUGGCUGCCACAUCAAAAGCUAUGGUGCAGUUCAUGUUGGUAGCCUUCUUCUUCUUCAUUAUGAACAUAAUUGCGACUUUUCCAUUCAAUCUGCCUACACUGUUGAGUGUCAACACCCCGCUGCUCAAUUCGCUGCCAAGAUUUGAACCAGUUAUUUCACUUGAAUUCAAAUUCACCUCCACAUUUCUUUUUAUGGUCGAAAGCCAUCCAGCCUUGCCCUUUGCGAUAUUAAUCACUCCCACAGUUGCGCCUUGGUAUUGAAACGUGACAUUGGCAGCAUUGAACUUGUAGGAACCCCAGUUGGCUGAGUUCUUGAUCCUGAUUUGGGUUGUGAAUUUCAUGUCGAAUGAAGGCGUUGCCGGGACAGAUUCAAAGCUUUGGACGUUGAUGUUGCUGCCUAGCCUGAACUUGGGGGUCUUGACUUUCAUCACAGUGAGACUCAUCGUGGUGAUAACUAUGAUCUGAAACACAACGAAAAUAGUAAUAUAUAUGGCCAUUUUAAUUUUCUUCUGGCGUUUCAGCUCAUCAGAGGAUUGCAAAGAUUCUGCAUCAUUUGUUUUCCAAGCCAUGUUGAUUUCUUUUAGUGGAAGGAAGUAAAGCUUCAAAAGAAAAUGCUCUGCCUUUUCUCUGUUUCGGUCUGUAAAAUAUGAACUGAUGAGUAAGUG
rnacentral:lncRNA from 1 species